rnacentral:rRNA from 1 species
GACAGAGGCCCCGAGCGUUAGUCGGAAUUACUGGGCUUAAAGGGUGCGUAGGCGGGCGUGUAAGUGCUUUGUGAAAGCCCUGGGCUCAACCCAGGAACCGCAGGGCAUACUGCACGUCUAGAAGUAGCUAGAGGCCGGUGGAACGAUCGGUGGAGCGGUGGAAUGCGUAGAUAUCUGGAGGAACACCGGUGGCGAAAGCGGCUCACUGGAUCGAAACUGACGCUGAGGUGCGAAAGCUAGGGUAGCAAACGGG